GACGAACGCUGGCGGCGUGCCUAAUACAUGCAAGUUGAGCGAUGAAGAUUGGUGCUUGCACCAAUUUGAAGAGCAGCGAACGGGUGAGUAACGCGUGGGGAAUCUGCCUUUGAGCGGGGGACAACAUUUGGAAACGAAUGCUAAUACCGCAUAACAACUUUAAACAUAAGUUUUAAGUUUGAAAGAUGCAAUUGCAUCACUCAAAGAUGAUCCCGCGUUGUAAUAGCUAGUUGGUGAGGUAAAGGCUCACCAAGGCGAUGAUACAUAGCCGACCUGAGAGGGUGAUCGGCCACAUUGGGACUGAGACACGGCCCAAACUCCUACGGGAGGCAGCAGUAGGGAAUCUUCGGCAAUGGACGAAAGUCUGACCGAGCAACGCCGCGUGAGUGAAGAAGGUUUUCGGAUCGUAAAACUCUGUUGGUAGAGAAGAACGUUGGUGAGAGUGGAAAGCUCAUCAAGUGACGGUAACUACCCAGAAAGGGACGGCUAACUACGUG
rnacentral:rRNA from 1 species